rfam:Perkinsus marinus ATCC 50983 gcontig_1104296280396, whole genome shotgun sequence.
GCCGGGAUGGUCUAGUGGUUAUGACGUCUGCCUUACACGCAGAAAAUCGCGAGUUCAAUCCUCGCUCCUGGUA